AGAGAAUAGAAAUGAGAAUAACGCUAGUUUAUUGAAGAUAGCACUGGGACUGACUUAGAGUGUGAUUCGGACACUAUAUUCCUGUUACUGCGGUACAUAGCCCUUUCCUCUUCUUCUUUCAACUGCUUCAAAUUUGUUUCUAUGAUUGGUUAGGUACAGUGCAUCAAUACAAACAGAGAAGGAAUUUCCCUGAAAGCCAGCAUUGCCCACGGUCAAGUUUCAGGUAUUUUUUUGCAAACCUUGGAGCUUUAAGUUGAACCUAGAAAGGCAGGUUAGAGAGCGAGAAGGAACCUAAAAUAUUGGGGUACGGAUUUGGGCUGGUCACCACCUACAUGAUUUCAUGAGGUCUAGGAUUCUCAGCUUGAUCUGGAUGCCCUAACAUAACUGGUACAUGUACCUCCUGCAUUGUGUGCGAAAAAUCUGAGUCAAAAUAAGAACAUAUUCAUGUAUAUUAGCAUGUAUGAUGUUGCUGAUGGCUACAUUAUUGUAAUCACCGAGUUUAAGGAGGCUUUGGAAGAUCACUGCAACUUGGUAGGACUGAAGAUUUAAUUGUGAACUAAAACUAUAUUGCUAGAUUCAAUCACCAUGAUGCAUAGAACAAAAGAGUUGAGGUUAAGAUAUGUCUGAAUCCAGUAUAUGUAGAUUUUUCUCUAUAAGAUAUGAUUGUAAGCUAGUCUUAAAAUUUAAUAAUGUUCAUCUUUCGCAAUGGUCCAACCUUAAUAUGCAAUAUCUUAUGAUUUGAGUCCUACAAUUCAGAUUUUAUAAAAUCUGAGUUGUUGCUAGAUCACGCAAAUUCUAACGUAGAUUUUUUUUGUUGCCUCUGUCAAUAAAUCUUAUCUUCUCUAAAUUCUAAAAAUUUAUGAUUAUUUAUGGAGGGGGUGGAAGCCUAGUUCUGGAAAAAACAAAGCGAAGCCUAGUUGAAAAGAGGGUGGGAUCAGAUUCAAGUCUUUUAAAUCAAGACAGGUGACUUUGCCAACUUAGCAGUUGGCAUUUCUACCUAACCCUUGAAGACAUUAAAAAAAAAAAUAAUCAUUUGAUGAAUAUGGAAAUCAAGUAACCCUCAAGAUAUUUUAUUUCCAUUUAUCUUUCAUUUAUUAUAAGAAUAGCUUUCCUUCUUUUACUUUUAAUUUUCAUG
rnacentral:lncRNA from 1 species